UAGGAAAUAUUUUAAAUUUAAUAUUGUAAAUAUUGUAGUUACAGACAAAUGGCUUUAUAAGCCAAUUUUUAUUAAAAAUAGCAACUACCAUAGUAUAGAAACCGUUUCAAAAUUUCCACGACAACUUCCACCAACCAUCCGACACAAGGUCGAGUACAACCUCCAUCCUCCGUGGUGCUCUGUUCUUCUCUAGCUGUAUCAAGCAUCCAGUCAGACUGCUUAACAACAAUCUUCUGUUUCGGACUCAGUCUUGAUUUCAGAGGUUUAUCCUCGCCGUGCGCGUCUCUAGGUAUCUGGGAUCUGUCGAUCGUCGGACCGGAGACUCUCUUCAUCUCAGGUGAUUUGAUUCUGAAUUCUUGUACAAUUCCUAAGAAUUGUAGCACUUGUGCUUUCAAUUUUCUCGAACUCGUUUAAUUGCAGAAAUUAAUGGCUUCUAAUAUGGAGUUAACUGCAAAUCCUGAUUUCAAAAGACUUCAAGCAUUACAAAUGGAGCAAACUAAAGAAAUGAAUGAAUUUUGUAUCGUUAUGACAAAUACAAUACAAUGGAUUUCAAAUCAAAUAAUGAAUAUGGGAAAAGAAACAAAAAUUCCAGAACCACCAGAUGGGGAACAAAACAAGCAAAACAGAGAAUUUGGUGAUCAAAGCUACCUAUCUUUAGUGGAUCUCGACAACCCCAUAUAUGCAGUUAGCAUACUGAAUGAUGACAAUUACAAUCCAGCAAAGAAUAUUAAAGUAGACUUGCCAAGAUUUGAGGGCAAAAAUGUCGAAGAUUGGCUAUUUCAAGUAAGAAGAUUUUUUUAUAUAUAAUAAGACUUCGGAAGAACAAAAAUUAUUAAUGGUUUCAUUCCAUAUGGAUGGAAUAGCGAGAAAAUGGUUUUCUUGGAUAGAGGCUAGCAACUUCCUCAGUGAUUGGAAAAAAUUUGUAAAAGAUGUAUGUAAAAAAUUCAGCAAAGGUAAUUAUACUCUCCCCGGAGGCAAACUAAGCAAAUUAAUGCAAGUGGGCUCUGUUGCUGAAUAUCAAACAGAGUUUGAAGAAAGGUGCACAAUGUUUAGGCCUACCAGAUUACUUUAUACUGGAAAUGUUCAUUUCUGGCCUCAGAAAUGACAUUCAAAAAGAGGUGGUAAAAUUCAAGCCAAAUGACAUACAAGAAGCAUUUGACAUGGCAGCCUUAGUAGAAGGAAAGAAAGUAGGAAGUGGAUCAAAUUGGAUCCCCAAAACAGCAAGAAGUACCUAGAAAUAACAACAAAAAGAGCUGACAAAUCCAGCAACAACUGAAAAAAUUCAGUAUGCAAAAGGAGGUCAAGAACAACCCUAUACCAAACCAGUCUUUAAAAGACUAUCACCUGAAGAAAGAACAGCAAAAGGACUUUGUUUUAACUGUGAGGACAUGUUCAUACCAGGGCAUAAAUGCAAAGGUAAAAUGUUUAUGUUAUCUGCAGAUGAAUCAUAUUUGCUAGAAAUGGAAGAACAAAAAGAAGUUAUGAAUAUGGAGGAAGAAAAUGUUGAAAUACCCAUCAUAAGAAAUAAUGAAGCUCCUACUGGUAUUAGCAUGCAUGCAUUCGAAGGACAAAUGAAUCCAAGCACAAUCAGGCUGGAAGGAUUCAUAAAAAUGCAAUCAGUGAGUAUUUUAGUUGAUUCGGGCUCCACACAUAAUUUUAUACAAUUAGCUGUAGCAUCUGCCUUAAAAUUAACUAUAUAUGCUACUAGACCAUUUAAAGUAGCCACAGAAAGUGGAGAAAAUCUCACUUGUGACAAAUUGUGCAAGGAUGUAGAAAUUAAAAUACAAGGUGUGGUAGUGACAUUGGAUGUAUUUUUAAUACCAAUGGCUGGAUCUAAUCUAGUAAUUGGAUUACAGUGGCUGAAAAAGUUGGGGUAUAUUGUCUCAAAUUAUGAAAAAUUAACAAUGAAGUUCAAAUGGGCAGGAAAAGAGGUAACUUGGCAAGGUAUAUCUUGGAUAUUUGAUGACCCAUUAACAGUGGGAGAACUGAAAAGUCUAUGUCAGGUAACCAUAGAGGCUUAUUUAUGUUAUUAUGAAGCUUCUUCAAAUAAUGAAUCCAGCAAGGUUCUGAGCAAAAAAAAUUCAGAAAUUCACGAAAUACUAAACGAAUUUUCAGAUAUAUUCUCUGAUCCUAAAGGUCUGCCUCCACAAAGAGAGAGAGAUCAUCUGAUACAUUUAAUACCAGGAGCUAAGCCAGUGAAUGUGAGACCUUAUAGGUACCCACAAUUUCAAAAAAAUGGAAUAGAGAAGCUAAUUUCAGAGAUGCUAGAUAAAGGCACCAUCAAACCAAGCCUAAGUCCAUAUUCUUCUCCAGUAUUACUCAUAAAGAAAAAAGAUAGUGGUUACAGAAUAUGUGUAGAUUAUAGAGCACUCAAUGCUCUAACUAUCAAAGAUAAAUUCCCCAUCCCAACGGUGGAUGAAUUGUUGGGGGAAAUGAAAGGAUCUACAAUAUUUUCUAAGCUAGAUCUGAGAUCAGGUUUUCACCAGAUCAGAGUUUGCCCAUCAGAUACUCACAAAACAAUAUUCAGAACACAUGAAGGCCAUUUUGAAUUUAUGGUUAUGCCAUUUGGGCUAACUAAUGCACCAACCACUUUUCAGACAGUUAUGAACUCUGUUUUUUUUUUAAAUAUUGAGAAAAUUCGUAAUAAUAUUUUUUGAUGAUAUAUUGAUCUACAUCCUUCACUUGAAGAACAUAUAACACAUUUGGGCAGAGUAUUUGAGAUACUCAGAAACAAUCAGCUAUUGGCAAAACUAUCUAAGUGCUCAUUUGGGAAAUCAUCCAUUGGCUUCCUAGGACACAUAAUUUCAGAAAAAGGAGUUCACCCUGAUCCAGAUAAAGUAAGUGCAAUGACAGAAUGGACGGUACCCAAAACCAUCAAACAACUCAGAGGUUUUUUGGGUCUAACUGGUUAUUAUAUAAGGUUCAUAAAGAAUUAUACUCAGAUUGCUGCACUUAUGACAAACCUAUUGAAGAAGGACAGUUUUAAGUGAUCUGAAGAUAGUAAAACUAGUUUUGAGACUUUGAAGGCAGCUAUGAUAAAGGCUCCUUUUUUAGCAUUUCCAGAUUUUGAAAAAUUAUUCAUAUUAGAGACCGAUGCUUGUAACAGUGGGGUGGGGGCAGUACUUAUAUAGGAAUACCAUCCUAUUUCAUUUUAUAGCUGCAAAAUAUCUGGAGAAAUUGCAGGUGCUUCAAUCUACAUAAAAGAAAUGUUUGCCAUAACACAGUCAGUCCAUAAAUGGAGACAUUAUUUGCUUGGUGCUCCCUUUACUAUAAGAACUGAUCACAGAAGUUUAAAAAAUUUAUUGACACAGGUCAUUCAGACCCCAGAGCAACAGGUAUUCUUAUGUAAAUUAUUGAGUUUUGAUUUUCAGAUCGUAUACAAACCAGGGAAAUCAAAUGUGGUGGCUGAUGCUUUAUCUAUAUCAUUUGAAGGAGAAGAAGAAGAAGAAAUUAUUUAUUCUCACUCAUCCAAGGGAAAUCCAUGCUCAUUUUUAGCUCUCUCAACUCCUAUAUAUAAUUUGAUAGAUGUAAUCAGAAAAGAAAACAAGGAAAAUAAGCCCUGAGAGAAUUGAUGGAAGAAAUCAGCAAACACCCUAAUUCCAAGGUUGGUUUCACAGUGCAAGGAGAAAUUAUUAAAUUCAUAGGAAGAAUAUAUAUAUCAAAAAAUUCUAUUUUAAGGGAGGAAAUUAUGAAAGAAUACCAUUCAACAGUAACUGGAGGGCACUCUGGGAUCAAGGCAACUACCAAAAGAAUUAAUCUACAAUUUUGGUAGGAAGGUAUGUCUAAAGAUAUUAGAGAAUUUGUGUUAAAUUACAAAAUAUGUCAACAGAUGAAGCCCAUAAACCAAAAGAAGGAGGGUUUACUCAUGCCAUUACCCAUACCUAAUAUGGUUUGGAAGAAUGUAACAAUGGACUUCAUCAUCGAGCUACCACAAGUAGAAGGAAAAAUAAUCAUCAUGGUAGUGGUGGAUAGAUUAUCAAAAUAUGCAUACUUUGAAGCUUUACCCACAAAUUUUAAUGCAAGUAUGGUAUCUGAAUUAUUUACAUCAAUGGUCAUCAAAUUACACGGAAUACCAAGUUCCAUUGUCUCAGAUAGGGACAAGAUAUUCACUUCCAAAUUUUGGAAGGAAUUGCAUAACAAGAGUGGGACCAAACUACAUUACUCUACUGCCUAUCACCCGAAAAGUAAUGGCCAAACAAAAGUGGUCAACAGAGGUUUGGAAAUGUAUCUAAGAUGUUUUUGUCAUGAUGAUCCAAAAAAAUGGUUGAGCUUACUAUCAUGGGCUGAAUUAUGGUAUAACACCAAUUAUCAUUCAUCUAUCAAAACAACACCUUUUAAUGUGUUAUAUGGGAGAGAUCCACCAGGAAUUGCACAAUACACUCCCAGGGAUUCAAGCAUAGAUGCGGUAGAUGCAAGUAUGCAAGUAAGGGAAGAAGUUCUGAAUCACAUCAAAGCUAAUCUAAAGAAGUGCCAAGAAAUUAUGAAACUAAAGGCAGAUACAAAAAGAAAAGAUAUUGAGUUUAAUUUGGGCGAUUGGACAUGGAUUAAAUUAAAACCUUAUAAGCAGAGAGCACUAUGGCAUAUAGAUUGAAUCAUAAAUUAAGUAAAAGGUAUUUCAGACCUUACAAAAUUACACAGUGGAGUUACCCCAAGGCAGCAAGAUCCAUAACACAUUCCACAUAUCAAAAUUAAAGCCUUAUAGAGGAGAAAUACCACCACAUAAAGAAGUAAAACCAAUCCUAUCUAUCAACAAUCAACCAAUAGUCUAUCUGGUGGCAUUAAUUGACGCAAGAAAAAUAUACCGGAAUGGGAAGAUGACGGACCAGGUAUUGGUGCACUGGAAUGAUUCACAGCCGGAAGAUGCAUCUUGGGAGGAUUUCCUGCAGCUAGCAACUUUGUUCCCAUCCAUCACCAAUGAGGGCAUGGCGAUUUUCAAAAAGGGGAGAGAUGAUACAACUCGGCCGGCUACUAGAGAGAUUGCAAGGGAGGUAGCACGGGACUUGCUGGAGAUUCAAGAUCGAGAGAGUGAAGAGGUAAUCGGGCGUCCGAAAAGAUUGGCUAGGGCUCUGAGACGUUGGGACAAUUAUGUUACCCCAUUUGGGCGUAACUAAAGGGGACCAAUUUCAAUAUUUAAUUCAAGGACCAAUUUCGUAAUUUUAAUUAUUUCCAAAGGCUGUUUUAGAAAAUAUUUUAAAUUUAAUAUUGUAAAUAUUGUAGAUACAGACAGAUGGAUUUAUAAGCCAAUUUUUAUUAAAAAUAGCAACUACCAAAGUAUAGAAACCGUUUCAAAAUUUCCACGACAACUUCCACCAACCAUCCGACACAAGGUCGAGUACAACCUCCAUCCUCCGCCGUGCUCUGUUUUUCUCCAGCCGUAUCAAGCAUCCGGUCAGACUGCUUAACAACAAUCUUCUGUUUCGGACUCGGUCUUGAUUUCAGAGGUUUAUCCUCGCCGUACGCGUCUCUAGGUAUCUGGGAUCUGUCGAUCGUCGGACCGGAGACUCUCUUCAUCUCAGGUGAAGUGAUUUUGAAUUCUUCUAUAAUUUCUAAGAAAUGUAUCAGGAACUCUCAGUGCUAGGACUAUUUAUUUCUUAACCUGGGCUGUCAAGCAAUUUCUCCAAAUUAUUAUUAUUAUGACUUGGGCUUGGACUGAAAUUAUGUUGACCCCCACUCGAAAUAGAAAUAUCUGAAUUAACUUCGGUUGGGCCUGAUUUAAUAGUGAUCGAGCUUGAAAUUAAUUCUGGACUCCCAAUAAUAGCCGGGCCUGAAAUAUUAGUUUAUGGACAAAUAUCAUAAUCAUCCAUGUCCAAACAUUUAUUUAGAGAAAAAUCGUUUUCCUCAAACCUUACAUCUCUUGAGAUAUAUAACUUCCCAAUAACCGGAUCUAAACAGAUAUACCCUUCAUAAUUUACUGGAUACCCCAAGAAAAUGCACGGUGUAGAUUUCGGAUCCAACUUUGAAGACCUAACAUUUGCACCCGAACAACUUUAAGAUACCAUAACC
rnacentral:lncRNA from 1 species